UACGGGGGGGCGAGCGUUGUUCGGAAUCACUGGGCGUAAAGGGCGCGUAGGCGGCCCGCACAAGUCUGCGGUGAAAACCCCCGGCUUAACCGGGGGCCGGCCGUGGAAACUGUCGGGCUGGAGGCCGGGGAGAGGGCAGCGGAAUUCCCGGUGUAGCGGUGAAAUGCGUAGAGAUCGGGAGGAACACCGGCGGCGAAGGCGGCUGCCUGGACCGGCCCUGACGCUGAGG
rnacentral:rRNA from 1 species